GCCAAGUACGUGCCAGCGGCGGGGGUAAUAGGGAGGGUGCGAGGGUUGUCAGGAAUUAUUGGGCGUAAAGGGCUCGUAGGCGGUGUGUCGCGUCGGGAGUGAAAACCAGGUGCUUAACACCUGGCUUGCUUUCGAUACGGGCAGACUGGAGGUAUGCAGGGGAGAACGGAAUUCCUGGUGUAGCGGUGAAAUGCGCAGAUAUCAGGAGGAACACCGGUGGCGAAGGCGGUUCUCUGGGCAUUACCUGACGCUGAGGAGCGAAAGUGUGGGGAGCGAACAGGAUUAGAUACCCUAGUAGUC
rnacentral:rRNA from 1 species